UCAAUUGGUUCUUCGGUUGAGAAAGGAUGGGCACAAGGGACCACAAUUGGUCUCUUGGGAGAAAGGAUGGGAGAGUACCCACAAUGGAUUUGAGUGCAAACUAUGAGAAUCCGUCUCUGACAAGUACUCCUUGAAUUGAAGCCUCUUAGUAAAGGAAGGAAAAGAAACUAACAAGGAUACCCGUAGUAGUGCGAACGAACUGGAUAGAGUCUGCUAUGUAAUCCGCAAGGAGAUGUUAAGGCUGCAAAGGAAGUCAGUUGGAAUGCUGCGAAAGAUAAGGUGAUAUCCCUUACAAACGUUAGAAAAAAGUAGCCAUACUUGGUAGUGGAUGGUGAAGCGGUGGUUUUUUCCAUCGAAGACUAAAUACAGGAAGAGACCGAUAGCGAAUAAGUAGAGUGAUCGAAAGUGUGAAAUUGUAGACUUACAUUAUUAU
rnacentral:rRNA from 1 species